ensembl:misc_RNA Metazoa_SRP Metazoan signal recognition particle RNA
AGGCAUGAUGGCACGUGCUUGUAGUCCCAGCUACUAGCGGGGUGGGAAGAUGGGAGAUGGGAGGAUGGCUUGAGGCCAGGACUUCUGGGCAGUAGUGCACUGUGCCAAUCGGAUGUCCACACUAAGUUCAGCAUCGAUGUGACCUCCUGGGAGUGGGGGACCACCAGGUUGCCUGAGGAUGGGUGAACCCACCCAGACGGGAAAUGAAGCAGGUCAAAACUCUCAUGCUAAUCAGUAGUGGGAUCAUGCCUGUGAAUAGCCACUGCACUCCAGCCUGGACAACAUAGCGAGAUCCCAUCUCUA